rnacentral:lncRNA from 1 species
GUGGUAUUCAUGAUUAGUGUGCUGGCUGCUAUCGAGUGGGAGAUUGAGGCCGAACCCUCGGGACUGCCGCCGCCAGCGGCGGAGGGAGGAGGAAGAAGACCGUCGUCGUGAAGGGAUCACCCCCGGGUUUUAGGAUCAACGAUCUGACUUUUCGUCACACACGGGGCCCCUCCUAGCUACCAUGAUUCCCGGAUGUCUUCUCUUGGCCUUUUUCCUCCCAGUCCCUUGGCUUCUUCACGUUGUUCUGGUUUUCUUCCGCCGACAGCUCCGUUGACCGGUCACCUCGCC